rnacentral:ncRNA from 1 species
AAGCCUCAAGUUAUGUGUGACAACCCCCUGAAUUUAAGCAUAUUAAUAAGGGGAGGAAAAGAAACCAACCGGGAUUCCCUGAGUAGCUGCGAGCGAAACGGGAGAAGCUCAGCACGUAGGGAUGGCGGCCCGCCCGUCUAUCCGAUUCCGUGUACUGGUACGUCUCACUAUCCGUCUUCCUAGUGGUAUUCAAGUCCAACUUGAACGUGGCUUUGAACCCAUAGAGGGUGAUAGGCCCGUAGAACACCACCCAGCGGUUGAUGGACCGAGCGUACCAUGGAGUCGUGUUGCUUGAUAGUGCAGCACAAAGUGGGAGGUAAACUCCUUCUAAAGCUAAAUACGACCAUGAGACCGAUAGUAAACAAGUACCGUGUGGGAAAGUUGAAAAGCGACUCUGAAUAGAGAGUCAAAUAGUACGUGAAACUGCCGAGGGUGUAAAGCCUGUUGAACUCGAUUAUCCGUAGUUCCUGGCAUCGUGGGUUUUGGCUGUACACGCAGAAGGGGGCCUUCUGUAUGCCUUGACCCUAGCCAGGAACGAGUGCGGACAUCGUGAUCCAUUACGCAAACCAAAUGCGAGCGGCGACUCCGGUUGCUGCGAGCAUAUCCAACAUCAGGUCCCAGAACAUGCGGUCGACCCUCUAGUAGUGGCGCUCAGCUUAAGGCCGGCGUCGCGAACGGGGGAUCGAGGCUCCGGUCUCGAGUUCGGCUAGUUCCGGUGUGCCGUUGGAUGCGUGAUGGGCAUUGAAGUGAACUAGAGAAGUGUGAAGCGCAUGUUUGGGCAUAGUUCAAGGGCGAAAGCCUGAGCCGAGCACGACUCCGGAUCUACGAUGUACUAACUAAUCGAGGUACCUACGGGACCCGUCUUGAAACACGGACCAAGAAGUCUAUCUUGCGCGCAAGUCAAUGGGAGUAGCAAACCCAAAGGCGAAGAUAACACAACUGCAAAGUCGUUGCGGGAUUACGGGUGCACCACAGUCCGCGAGGACUGGCUAGCUGUGCCGCCCCUCCAUCCCCGGGUGUUUAGCAACGGAUCUGUAGUGCCGCGGACCCCCCGACAGGGGUGGGCAUUUGCAGAGCCAACGCGACAUACCGCGAGCGCGCAGGAUGUGACCCGAAAGAUGGUGAACUAUGCCUGAUCAGGUUGAAGUCAGGGGAAACCCUGAUGGAGGACCGAAGCAAUUCUGACGUGCAAAUCGAUUGUCAGAGUUGGGCAUAGGGGCGAAAGACCAAUCGAACCAUCUAGUAGCUGGUUCCCUCCGAAGUUUCCCUCAGGAUAGCUGGAGCACGUAACGUUU